AAACCAGCACCUCAAGUGGUCAGGAUGAUUAUUGGGCCUAAAGCAUCCGUAGCUUGGUGCAUAAGUUUUCGGUUAAAUCCACAUGCUUAACAUGUGGGCUGCCGGAAAUACUGUGCGCCUAGGGAGUGGGAGAGGUAGACGGUACUCGGUAGGAAAGGGUAAAAUCUUUUGAUCUAUCGAUGACCACCUGUGGCGAAGGCGGUCUACCAGAACACGUCCGACGGUGAGGGAUGAAAGCUGGGGGAGCAAACCGGAUUAGAAACCCGAGUAGUCC
rnacentral:rRNA from 1 species